UACGGAGGGUGCUAGCGUUGUUCGGAAUCACUGGGCGUAAAGGGCGUGUAGGCGGUCUGUUAAGUCUGAUGUGAAAUCCCCUCGCUCAACGAGGGAACUGCGUCGGAUACUGGCAGACUUGAGUACCGGAGAGGAAGGUGGAAUUCCCGGUGUAGCGGUGAAAUGCGCAGAUAUCUGGAGGAACACCGGUGGCGAAGGCGGCAUCCUGGACCGGCAUUGACGCUGAGGCGCGAAAGCUAGGGGAGCAAACGGGG
rnacentral:rRNA from 1 species